AUGAGUCUUUGCCCAAAAGGUGUCGGAUCAUGCUUUCGGCAUCGCCUAAGGAUGGGGCCGCGACCGAUCAGGUUGUUGGUGAGGUAAUGGCCCACCAAGCCUAUAACCGGUGCGGGCCGUGAGAGCGGGAGCCCGGAGAUGGGCACUGAGACAAGGGCCCAGGUCCUACGGGGCGCAGCAGUCGCGAAACCUUUGCAAUACACGAAAGUGUGACAGGGUCAUCCCGAGUGCCGACCGCUGAGGUUGGCUUUUACCCAGUCUAGAAAGCUGGGGGAAUAAGGAGAGGGCAAGUCUGGUGUCAGCCGCCGCGGUAAUACCAGCUCUCCGAGUGGUGUGGACGUUUAUUGGGCCUAAAGCAUCCGUAGCUGGCUGAACAAGUCCCCUGUUAAACCCACCGAUUUAAUCGUUGGUCUGCGGGGGAUACUGCUCGGCUAGGGGACGAGAGAGGCAGACGGUAUUCCCGGGGUAGGGGUGAAAUCCUAUAAUCCCGAGAAGACCACCAGUGGCGAAGGCUGUCUGCUAGAACGCGCCCGACGGUGAGGGAUGAAAGCUGGGGGAGCGAACCGGAUUAGAUACCCGGGUAGUCCCAGCUGUAAACGAUGCAGGCUAGGUGUUUGGACGGCCACGUGCCGUUCUAGUGCCGCAGGGAAGCUGUUA
rnacentral:rRNA from 1 species